GAUGAACGCUGGCGGCGUGCCUAAUACAUGCAAGUCGAGCGAACGGACGAGAAGCUUGCUUCUCUGAUGUUAGCGGCGGACGGGUGAGUAACACGUGGAUAACCUACCUAUAAGACUGGGAUAACUUCGGGAAACCGGAGCUAAUACCGGAUAAUAUUUUGAACCGCAUGGUUCAAAAGUGAAAGACGGUCUUGCUGUCACUUAUAGAUGGAUCCGCGCUGCAUUAGCUAGUUGGUAAGGUAACGGCUUACCAAGGCAACGAUGCAUAGCCGACCUGAGAGGUGGAUCGGCCACACUGGAACUGGGACACGGUCCAGACUCCUACGGGAGGCAGCAGUAGGGAAUCUUCCGCAAUGGGCGAAAGCCUGACGGAGCAACGCCGCGUGAGUGAUGAAGGUCUUCGGAUCGUAAAACUCUGUUAUUAGGGAAGAACAUAUGUGUAAGUAACUGUGCACAUCUUGACGGUACCUAAUCAGAAAGCCACGGCUAACUACGUG
rnacentral:rRNA from 1 species